AUUGAACGCUGGCGGCAUGCCUUACACAUGCAAGUCGAACGGCAGCGCGUCCUUCGGGAUGGCGGCGAGUGGCGAACGGGUGAGUAAAGCAUCGGAACGUGCCCGGUAGUGCGGGAUAGCUCGGCGAAAGCCGGAUUAAUACCGCAUGAGAUCCGAGGAUGAAAGCAGGGGACCCCUUGUGGGCCUUGCGCUACUGGAGCGGCCGAUGUCAGAUUAGGUAGUUGGUGGGGUAAAGGCCUACCAAGCCUGCGAUCUGUAGCUGGUCUGAGAGGAUGAUCAGCCACAUCGGGACUGAGACACGGCCCGAACUCCUACGGGAGGCAGCAGUGGGGAAUUUUGGACAAUGGGCGCAAGCCUGAUCCAGCCAUGCCGCGUGCAGGAUGAAGGCCUUCGGGUUGUAAACUGCUUUUGUACGGAACGAAAAGCCCCCUUCUAAUAAAGGGGGGUGAUGNNNNNGUACCNGUNAANGAANUNAAGCACCGGCNUNAANYUACGUGNCCNAGCAGNCCGCNGGUAAUNACGUANGGGUGCAAGCGUCNAAUCNGGAAUUACUGGGCGUAAAGCGUGCGCAGGCGGUUAUGUAAGACAGAGGUGNAAAUCCCCGGGCUCAACCUGGGAACUGCCUUUGUGACUGCAUAGCUUGAGUGCGGCAGANGGGGGAUGGAAUUCCGCGUGUAGCAGUGAAAUGCGUAGAUAUGCGGAGGAACACCGAUGGCGAAGGCAAUCCCCUGGGCCUGCACUGACGCUCAUGCACGAAAGCGUGGGGAGCAAACAGGAUUAGAUACCCUGGUAGUCCACGCCCUAAACGAUGUCAACUGGUUGUUGGGAAUUAACUUUCUCAGUAACGAAGCUAACGCGUGAAGUUGACCGCCUNGGGGAGUACGGCCGCAAGGUUAAAACUCNAAGGAAUUGACNGGGGACCCGCACAAGCGGUNGGAUGAUGUGGUUUAAUUCGAUGCAACGCGAAAAACCNUUANCCCACCNUUUNGACAUNGUAUNGGAAUCCCGAAGAGAUUUGGGAGUGCUCGCAAGAGAGCCAUAACACAGGUGCUGCAUGGCUGUCGUCAGCUCGUGUCGUGAGAUGUUGGGUUAAGUCCCGCAACGAGCGCAACCCUUGCCAUCAGUUGCUACGAAAGGGCACUCUGAUGGGACUGCCGGUGACAAACCGGAGGAAGGUGGGGAUGACGUCAAGUCCUCAUGGCCCUUAUAGGUGGGGCUACACACGUCAUACAAUGGCUGGUACAAAGGGUUGCCAACCCGCGAGGGGGAGCCAAUCCCACAAAGCCAGUCGUAGUCCGGAUUGCAGGCUGCAACUCGCCUGCAUGAAGUCGGAAUCGCUAGUAAUCGUGGAUCAGCAUGUCACGGUGAAUACGUUCCCGGGUCUUGUACACACCGCCCGUCACACCAUGGGAGCGGGUCUCACCAGAAGUAGGUAGCCUAACCGCAAGGAGGGCGCUUACCACGGUGGGGUUCGUGACUGGGGUG
rnacentral:rRNA from 1 species